UACGUAGGGGGCAAGCGUUGUCCGGAAUCAUUGGGCGUAAAGCGCGUGUAGGCGGUCCGGUAAGUCCGCUGUGAAAGUCGGGGGCUUAACCCUCGGAUGCCGGUGGAUACUGUCGGGCUUGAGUACGGAAGAGGCGAGUGGAAUUCCUGGUGUAGCGGUGAAAUGCGCAGAUAUCAGGAGGAACACCGGUGGCGAAGGCGGCUUCUGGACAGUAACUGACGCUGAGGCGCGAAAGCUAGGGGAGCAAACAGG
rnacentral:rRNA from 1 species